AUGACCCAUCCAUGUCAGGAAGCCGGAAUUACCUGCAGGACUAACCUAGUGCCUAUAGCUAUGGCAGGUCCCUGCAUCGUUGUUUUUGUUUAGUGGAUCCUCUAUCCUUCAGAGACUCUGGAACCCCUGUGGUCUUCUCCUCAUCCAAUGACCCUGAGGUGAUGGAGUUUUCCAGAAAGGAAUGUCCCAAGCCUUCGGGUAGGGUAAGCAUCAUGGCCGCCAGCCUCACAGGAUUGCUUCUACUUCAGGCAGUGUCAUGGGCAUCAGCCGCUGAGAGCAGAAGCAGUGGGCGUUGGAUGGAGCUGAGUAAGGGGACCAUCCAGGCUAAUUGCACUGGCACAGGAAUUGGAUAUAACAUCAUCCGGGAACCCAUGGCCAGCUGUGACUUCUCCAUCCGCACCUACACCUAUGCAGACACCCCUGAUGAUUUCUAGUUGCACAACUCCAGCCUCCCAGAGGAAGAUACCAAGCUCAACAUACCCCUGAUUCACCGAGCCCUGUAGUUGGCCCAGCGUCCCGUUUCACUCCUUGCCAACCCCUGGACAUCACCCACUAGGCUCAAGAUCAGCGGAGCAGGGAAUGGGAAGGUGUCACUCAAGGGACAGCCCGGAGACAUCUACCACCAGACCUGGGCCAGAUACUUUGUGAAGUUCCUGGAUGCCUAUGCUGAGCACAAGUUACAGUUCUGGGCAGUGACAGUUGAAAAUGAGCCUUCUGCUGGGCUAUUGAGUGGAUACCCCUUCCAGUGCCUGGGCUUCACCCCGAACAUCAGCGAGACUUCAUUGCCCAUGACCUAGGUCCUACCCUCGCCAACAGUACUCACCACAAUGUCCGCCUACUCAUGCUGGAUGACCAAUGCUUGCUGCUGCCCCACUGGGCAAAGGUACUGACAGACCCAGAGGCAGCUAAGUAUGUUCAUGGCAUUGCUGUACAUUGGUACCUGGACUUUCUGGCUCCAGCCAAAGCCACCCUAGGGGAGACACACCGCCUGUUCCCCAACACCAUGCUCUUUGCCUCAGAGGCCUGUGUGGGCUCCAAGUUCUGGGAGCAGAGUGUGCGGCUAGGCUCCUGGGAUCGAGGGAUGCAGUACAGCCACAGCAUCAUCACGAACCUGCUGUACCAUGUGGUCAGCUGGACUGACUGGAACCUCGCCCUGAACCCCGAAGGAGGACCCAAUUGGGUGCGUAAUUUUGUCGACAGUCCCGUCAUUGUAGAGAUCACCAAGGACACGUUUUACAAACAGCCCAUGUUCUACCACCUUGGUCACUUCAGCAAGUUCAUUCCUGAGGGCUCCCAGAGAGUGGGGCUGGUUGCCAGUCAGAAGAACGACCUGGACACAGUGGCACUGAUGCAUCCCGAUGGCUCUACCGUUGUGGUCGUGCUAAACCGCUCCUCUAAGGAUGUGCCUCUUACCAUCAAGGAUCCUGCCGUGGGCUUCCUGGAGACGAUCUCACCUGGCUACUCCAUUCAUACCUACCUGUGGUGUCUGCAGUGAUGGAGUGGAUACUCAAGCUCAGCCUGGGCAUUAAAAGGACAGUCAGCUCACACGCUGUCUGUGGCUAAAGAGGGCACAGCAGGGCCAGGGUGCGCUUACAGCGACAUAAGCCCAAGGGCAGUGGUUUGGGUGAUUCACUUUCCCCUCUAGGUAUUGCCAGGGGCUGGAGGCCCCUAGAAAAAGACCAGUAAGCCCCAGUGUUCCCCCAGCCCCCAUGCUUAUGUGAACGUGCACUGUGUGCUGCUUGCUUUGGAAACUGGGCCUGGGCCCAGGCCUAGAGUGAGCUCACUGUCGUACAAACACAAGAUGAGGGGUGAGGGUAAGGAAAAGAAGAGACUAGGAAAGCUAGGCCCAAAACUGGAGACUGUGUUUCCUGGAGAUGCAGAACUGGGCCCAUGGAGCAGCAGUGUCAGCAUCAGGGCAGAAGCCUUAAAGCAGCAGCAGGUGUGCCCAGGCAGCCAGAUGGUUCCUGUGGGACUAGCCAGGAAAAAUGGCAGCUCUUAAAGGAGAAAAUGUUUGAGCCCA